rnacentral:tRNA from 1 species
ACCCGGGUGGCGAAAUCGGUAGACGCGAGGGACUUAAAAUCCCUUUGUCGAAAGGCAAUACGGGUUCGAGUCCCGUCUCGGGUA